UGGGAUUGCCACUUUUUUUCUGAUAUGUUCAGAACCUGCCCACCCUUUUGCUGGCCACUUCUGUCUAGAUUGUGACACUGAGAUCUGAGGUCUUGGGGUAUAUCCAGAUCCUGUCCUUGGCCAGCGUGCCGUGCAUCGCCUUCCAUGCUGUCCCUCUCUCUCUCAGGGCACCCUCUGUGGUGGGGUGGAACAGUUUGACUGCUGCCUCCGAAGGAGUAUUUACAAGAACAAGUUUGAGCUGACGUAUGUGGGACCCAGCCAGGUGAUAGUGAAGAACCUGUCUUCAGGGACCAGGGUGGUGCUCAAGUCCCACUAUGGCUAUGAGGUAGAAGAGGUGAAGAUCCUGGGGAAGGAACGGUGGCUCACACAUUGGACACGCUGCUGCUCGGAGACUUGAACACCAAUCGCCUCAGUGAGGGUGACGUUGUAGGUCUGGAGCUAGGUGGAGGGAAGACAGAGGUGAUGGUGACCAAAGGGGUGACGACUGUGGCCUACACCCUGGACGAGGGCCUGAUUGAGUUUGGAACAGCCAUCGAUGACGGCAACUACACCCGGGCAACAGCCUUCUUGGAGACCCUGGAGAUGACCCCAGAAACAGAGGCAAUGUGGAAAACCUUGAGCAAACUGGCCCUGGAGGCAAGGCAGCUCCACACUGCUGAGAGCGCCACUCUCUGACGUGGAGAGAACCUCACAGAAUUCAUAAUGCCCAGAGUCUUUGGCUUCUGUCUUCCCUGCCACACCACGGCUGCCCCAUUGCUUUUGCCUCCUGUGAACUGGUACAGAAGCCGGAGACUGGGAAGAUCUGGACUGGAAAUCUCUUGUAGAAGUUGGACUCUUAGAAGCUGGAGUAUAAAUUUUAGCUUUCCUGUGCGAUGAUGAAGAAGGGUUCUUCGAUGUGUCCGCUCUGUUUCUCUCACGAUACUUUGAGACCUGAGGUCUUUUUCCAAUGUGCAACCUAAAACCAAGAUGCAACCAAAUCUCACCAUGGCCUUCAGGGGUGCUUAUAAGGUGGAUCUGUGGGUAGACGAGAAGGUAAGGCCCAAAAGCACACUGUAACUUAUGACAACACUUAUAUCCUGAACAUUGGCCGCACUGCAAGCAGAUGUGGUAUUUCAGGACAAGACCUGACCCUGGGGGUGGAGGGACGUUGUGUGGUAUUUGACUCCGCAAGAGUUUUGCUGCUAUCUUUAGCUGUAGAUCUUUAAGUAGAUGGAGCUGUUCUGAGAGAUCGGUCUUGGUCUGGGAAAAAUAACUUGCCUUUAGGGAGCGGUGAGACUCAAAAGUUCUUGUCUGUGAAUCGCUCUGGGAGAUUUUACUGGGCUCCCUGGAAACAGGAUCUUCCCUACUGUAAAGUAUCCCGAGAGGAGACUCUGGCUUCCCUAAGGCAGGAAACUGGGCCCCUGUACAUGAGACAGGCAUGUGCUGAGUGACUUCCUGGAAUAUAUCACUGAGUUUUGAGUUUGUUUUCUUUAGUCCCAAUCUAGUACCAGAGUACUGCUGUAUUAUGGAGGAUGUGGAUCCACGUGUCCACAUCUUUAAGGGCAUUCUUUUCUCGUGACCGUGGCCUAAGAUAUGUCUCUGAAUAUAGUUUUUGACCACUGACGUCUGUGAAAUCGUCCUUGGACCCCUCUCUAGUAGGCUCUGGGAAAAUUCCAUCAGUUCAGCUGGAACCCCAAAUAAAUUCUGAAUAGAUCUGCAGAUAUCCAUAGUGGCUCCUUCUGUUAGAAAUGGUUGAGAACAAAGCUUCCUUUCCAUAGUGGUUCCCAGAACAUUCCCCAACAUCAGCAUAUUUGAGAGGUACUUCCUGGGUAGUCGCUGCCUACAGACAUGGCUUUCCCAGAUGUUCAGUUGUCUGCCCAGGAAAGAACAGAUAAAGUUUCUUCGAGCUCCUAAUCCUGCCUGAAACUCCGAGGGUAGUAAUCUCAGUGGAUACGGAGAAUAGCUCUGCAGUGAAUUCCCAAAUUCUUCCAUUUGCUUCUUUUCAUUUGAUUCCUUAGUUAUGACAUCCAUAUCCCAGAUCUUAGGAUAUAUGGAUCCCACAGAGUUCCCUGUUUUAUCAGAGGGAAGGACCAAGGGAAGAGCUGGUGACUGUAUCCUAAUAGUGUCUGUAUUGGACUCUGGAGACUGCAAAAUGCCAACAUUAAAGUUCUUCAUAGUCCGGGCUCUUGACACUUUCAGCAUUCCAGAACCCUGAAGGGG